UACGUAGGGUGCGAGCGUUAAUCGGAAUUACUGGGCGUAAAGCGUGCGGCAGGCGGUCAUGCAAGACCAGAUGUGAAAUCCCCGGGCUCAACCUGGGAACUGCAUUUGUGACUGCAUGGACUGAGAGUGCGGCAGAGGGGGAUGGAAUUCCGCGUGUAGCAGUGAAAUGCGUAGAUAUGCGGAGGAACACCGAUGGCGAAGGCAAUCCCCUGGGCCUGCACUGACGGCUCGAUGCACGAAAGCGUGGGGAGCAAACAGG
rnacentral:rRNA from 1 species